ensembl:lncRNA
CUAAGUUGCCGGGGCCUUUCACCUCUAGUCUCCCCAUUCCCAAACUGCUACCCUAACCCCAGCACAAGCAUCUAAGUCGUCAUAACCUGUGCACACCACUUGUACUUCCCGAAUUCCAAACGCAGGCAGCUAGUCCGCAGUCAAACGCCUUCCCAGCCGCAAUCCUCCUUUCUGUAUUCUCUGAUCCUCUCCAUACUCUGGACCCAUGUAGCUGACCACAGAUUGUAUCCGUUGUGGCCUUCAUCAUGGGGAUUCUCAGUGUAGUUUCCAGACCAACAGCCCUGGCCUCACUUGGGAACUUGAAAUGCAAAUUCCCAGGUUCCGCCAAGACCUACUGAAUACAGAACUCUCAGGAUGGGGCUCAAGAGUCUGAACUUAUCAGAGCCUCACCAAGUGAUUCUGAUGUCCUCUGAAGUUUGAGAACCACUGUCUGAUCAUAAUGUUGGCAACAGCCUAAAUGGAGAAAGCCUUGUCCGGAGGAGGGACAACCCUUGUCCAGGCAGGAGCAGCUAACUGCUGUCACAAGCCAGGCUUCCUCAUGAACGCAGAGGUGCAGGAGGCCCCUGCCCACUGAUGACAACCCCAGAGGCACCCGGGGAUCCUGAGAGGGCUCUUCUCGCUGACAUCUCUUCCAGGCAUUCCAGAAAGUGCCAUGUCAUUCUCAGAGAGAGAGUUUUCUGAAAGCCUGUUUUUUUUUGUUUUUUGUUUUCACCCACGAAGCCUAGGUGGGGAUUUCAUAAACAAGGGAGUUCCCAGAAGAGAAGCAGUGGGCUGGCUUUAGCGUUAUAGACUUCUGUCCUCCUUCAUCAUUGGCUUCCUGACAAGGCAUGGAAUUUUCUUUUACUCUUCCCCACACAGCUGACACACAGAAGGGGACGACAGAGGAUGAGAUGGUUGGAUGGCAUCACCGACUCAAUGGACAUGAGUUUGAGUAAACUCUGGGAGUUGGCGACAGACAGGGAGGCCUGGCGUGCUGCAGUCCAUGAGGUCUCAGAGUCGGACACGACUGAGCGACUGAACUGAGCUGACACAGCUGACAAAGUUCCAGACAUGACCACAAGGGGCAGGGGAAAAGAGGGCAGACAGCAGGCCACUGGCUUCUCUGAGAAAGUCCAGCAA